GACUUCGGUCUGGUGGCGAGUGGCGAACGGGUGAGUAAUAUAUCGGAACAUACCCAGUAGUGGGGGAUAACUAUCCGAAAGGAUAGCUAAUACCGCAUACGAUCUGUGGAUGAAAGCAGGGGAUCUUCGGACCUUGUGCUAUUGGAAUGGCCGAUAUCUGAUUAGCUAGUUGGUAGGGUAAAAGCCUACCAAGGCGACGAUCAGUAGCUGGUCUGAGAGGACGACCAGCCACACUGGAACUGAGGCACGGUCCAGACUCCUACGGGAGGCAGCAGUGGGGAAUUUUGGACAAUGGGGGCAACCCUGAUCCAGCAAUGCCGCGUGAGUGAAGAAGGCCCUCGGGUUGUAAAGCUCUUUUGUCAGGGAAGAAACGGAGUUCUCUAAUAUAGGAUUCUAAUGACGGUACCUGAAGAAUAAGCACCGGCUAACUACGUGCCAGCAGCCGCGGUAAUACGUAGGGUGCAAGCGUUAAUCGGAAUUACUGGGCGUAAAGCGUGCGCAGGCGGUUUUGUAAGUCUGAUGUGAAAUCCCCGGGCUCAACCUGGGAACUGCAUUGGAGACUGCAAGGCUAGAGUGUGUCAGAGGGGGGUAGAAUUCCACGUGUAGCAGUGAAAUGCGUAGAGAUGUGGAGGAAUACCGAUGGCGAAGGCAGCCCCCUGGGAUACACUGACGCUCAUGCACGAAGCGUGGGGAGCA
rnacentral:rRNA from 1 species